UACGUAGGUGGCAAGCGUUAUCCGGAUUUAUUGGGCGUAAAGGGAACGCAGGCGGUCUUUUAAGUCUGAUGUGAAAGCCUUCGGCUUAACCGGAGUAGUGCAUUGGAAACUGGGAGACUUGAGUGCAGAAGAGGAGAGUGGAACUCCAUGUGUAGCGGUGAAAUGCGUAGAUAUUAGGAGGAACACCAGUGGCGAAGGCGGCCUACUGGACUGCAACUGACGUUGAGGCCCGAAAGCGUGGGGAGCAAACAGG
rnacentral:rRNA from 1 species